UACGGAGGGUGCGAGCGUUGUCCGGAAUCACUGGGCGUAAAGGGCGCGUAGGUGGCGUUCCAAGUCAACGGUGAAAGCUCGGGGCUCAACCCCGAGUCGGCCCGUCGAUACUGGGGAGGCUUGAGCACUGUAGAGGCAGAUGGAAUUCCGGGUGUAGCGGUGGAAUGCGUAAAAGAUCCGGAAGAACACCGGUGGCGAAGGCGGUCUGCUGGGCAGUAGCUGACACUGAGGAGCGAAAAGCAUGGGGGAGCGAAACAGGAUUUAGAAAACCCCCCGGUAAGCCAG
rnacentral:rRNA from 1 species